UUUCCGUAGGUGAACCUGCGGAAGGAUCAUUAUUGGAUUUUGAAACUUCAGGCUGCUGCUGGCUCCCCUCAGAGGGCAUGUGCACGCUUGUUGUCCAUUAUUUCUCCCACUGUGCACAAAUUGUAGACCUGUCAGUAGGCCUAUGUUGUUUUUCACUAUCUCUUUAUGUAAUAGAAUGGUUUUGAAUCUUGUGAAAUACAAUACAACUUUCAGCAACGGAUCUCUUGGCUCUC
rnacentral:misc_RNA from 1 species